rnacentral:rRNA from 1 species
UGAUACGUAGGGUCCGAGCGUUGUCCGGAAUUAUUGGGCGUAAAGGGCUUGUAGGCGGUUCGUCACGUCGGAAGUGAAAACUCAGGGCUUAACCCUGAGCCUGCUUCCGAUACGGGCAAACUAGAGGAAUGCAGGGGAGAACGGAAUUCCUGGUGGAGCGGUGGAAUGCGCAGAUAUCAGGAGGAACACCGGUGGCGAAGGCGGUUCUCUGGGCAUUUCCUGACGCUGAGAAGCGAAAGCGUGGGGAGCAAACAGGCUUAGAUACCCUGGUAGUCCACGCCGUAAACGGUGGGCACUAGGUGUGGGGGACAUUCCACGUUCUCCGUGCCGAAGCUAACGCAUUAAGUGCCCCGCCUGGGGAGUACGGCCGCAAGGCUA